rnacentral:rRNA from 1 species
CCUACGGGCGGCAGCAGUGGGGAAUAUUGGACAAUGGGGGGAACCCUGAUCCAGCGACGCCGCGUGAGUGAAGAAGUAUUUCGGUAUGUAAAGCUCUAUCAGCAGGGAAGAAAGAAAUGACGGUACCUGACUAAGAAGCCCCGGCUAACUACGUGCCAGCAGCCGCGGUAAUACGUAGGGGGCAAGCGUUAUCCGGAUUUACUGGGUGUAAAGGGAGCGUAGACGGCAGCGCAAGUCUGGAGUGAAAUCCCAUAGCUUAACCAUGGAACUGCUUUGGAAACUGUGCAGCUAGAGUGCAGGAGAGGUAAGCGGAAUUCCUAGUGUAGCGGUGAAAUGCGUAGAUAUUAGGAGGAACACCAGUGGCGAAGGCGGCUUACUGGACUGUAACUGACGUUGAGGCUCGAAAGCGUGGGGAGCAAACAGGAUUAGAUACCCCAGUAGUC